GUUGCAUAUAAAUUCAAAAUGCAGCAAAUACAAGAGAACUGUAUACUUCUUGAAUGCACUUGAUUUGCUUGUGAUCAUCUCCUUCCUAUGAGGUAACAUGUUUCUUGCCCUGAAUCUCUAGGCUACAGAUCAGAAAAAUGACCCAUUUUAUUUAGUUAACACCUGUGCCCAGAGCCAGGCUAAACCAAGCCUAAUGUAACUAUCCAGUUCUUUAGAAGCAAAGCCACAGGUGAUUUUACUUCCUCUUCCUUUCCUUCUUCGUUACAGUCUGGUUUCACAGGGCACAGAGCCUGGAUGAGCUGCAGAGCAGAUGUUUUGAAGAAAGUCCUGGCCAGAAGCCACUUUGUGUCUGUUGCUGGUUGGUUUUGUUUUAAGAUAGAGAAGGAAAUGUACCCUAUUAUACAUAGGUGUUUCUUCCAAGAUGUAUGAAAAGUAAGAACAAGUUAGGAAGUGCAGAAUUUCUUCAGCCAGGUGCUCAGAUCUCCCCAGCUGGGAGCAACGCCAAUGCCUUGCAAUAGCUGCAGCUUUUGCAUGUGUCAAGAUCGUGAAGAUAAGAGGAAUCAAUCAGAGAGCCACUGCAGCAGUCAUCCACUGAGACUGGCUGUUCAGAAACUUCAUGACUUCACCUGGGAAAGACAUUAUGGGUUUGGAAUGUUCUAAAUGCAGCCAAGUGAGCAAAGCAAGGAAAUGUUUAUGUAGUAGUUUGGGAUGAUAAGGAGGCCUAUAGAAAUGAUGGAGAACGUCUUCCUUAGGAGCAACAUAGGUGCCUGAGCCCAGUUGCAAAUCUGCAGGAAGCUGAAUCCCAUGCAGGAGGAUGCUGUGGAAGACAGUUUGGCGCGUUCCAAGGCAGAUGACCCUGGUUUACAGUUGCUCGUAUCAAAGACACUGCAUGCUACAGACAGAGCAGACUGCAGCCAACAGAGUGCUUCUCAGAUACUGAUGGAGAGCGAAAAUGCAAAAGAAUAA
ensembl:lncRNA